AAAGGAAGUUGAAAAGGGGUGGGAUAUUUUCUUCCCUAGCAUCCCACGUACCCCACCCCUAAAGUCAAUUUGGCUUAUCUUUAUUUUGCUGCAUCUGAAGUCCAGCAGCUCACUUUCCUCUUUCUCUACUCCUUUUUCCCCUUUCUUUGUUCUUCUUUCCUCUUCCCUUCUUACACGGCAACAUCUCUCUCUUCCUUUCUCACCAAAAAUUCUAGUUUCUUUAAAGAAGAAAUUAAACAAUUAGCCUUAAGGUUUCAUCUUCAAAGUUUGUGGGUGUUACCAGUUCCCCAGAUUUAAGCUCCUUCGACUUUAGGCUCUCGGUUCCUCUGCUUUCAGUUAGCAGGUUUUAUUUUGGAGCAGAGGGAGCCUUAGUCGAGUUUUGGAAGGAGCUGGUUUAGUUUUAUAUGUAUAGAUCCUAAAUUAGCAAUAUGAUGUUUAGAUUUGUAGCAUUGUUUAUUUUAGGAUCUAAUGAAAGUGUAUACCUUAAAGUAUUAAGAGAUGUAUUAUGUGAAAUUCCGAAUUUGAACAAUUGGUGAAUUAUGUUAUUCUUUGGAGUACAAUGUAGAUGCUCUGAAUGUCAA